GCAUUGGUGGUUCAGUGAUAGAAGUCUCGCCUGCAAUGUGAGAGACUCGGGUUCGCUUCUCAGCCUAUGCA
rfam:Salmo salar isolate Sally breed double haploid chromosome ssa19, whole genome shotgun sequence.